UCGGCAGACCAGACAAUCGCUGGUGCUUAGCACGGGAGGAAAGUCCGGGCUACAUAGGGCAGAGUGCCAGCUAACGGCUGGGGGGCGAAAGCCUACGACAAGUGCAACAGAGAAUAGACCGCCUUAUAUUUUAUAAGGUAAGGGUGAAACGGUGUGGUAAGAGCACACCGCAUGACUGGCAACAGGACAUGGCAAGGUAAACUCCACUCGUAGCAAGACCAAAUAGGUGUUCAAUGUGUUGCCCGCACAGAACACGGGUAGGUUGCUUGAGCGUAUCAGCGAUGGUACGCCUAGAUGAAUGAUUGUCCACGACAGAACCCGGCUUAUCGGUCUGCCAAAAUU
rnacentral:RNase_P_RNA from 1 species